GAUGAACGCUGGCGGCGUGCCUAAUACAUGCAAGUCGAGCGAACAGAUAAGGAGCUUGCUCCUUUGACGUUAGCGGCGGACGGGUGAGUAACACGUGGGUAACCUACCUAUAAGACUGGGAUAACUUCGGGAAACCGGAGCUAAUACCGGAUAACAUUUGGAACCGCAUGGUUCUAAAGUGAAAGAUGGUUUUGCUAUCACUUAUAGAUGGACCCGCGCCGUAUUAGCUAGUUGGUAAGGUAACGGCUUACCAAGGCGACGAUACGUAGCCGACCUGAGAGGGUGAUCGGCCACACUGGAACUGAGACACGGUCCAGACUCCUACGGGAGGCAGCAGUAGGGAAUCUUCCGCAAAAGGCGAAAGCCUGACGGAGCAACGCCGCGUGAGUGAUGAAGGGUUUCGGCUCGUAAAACUCUGUUAUUAGGGAAGAACAAAUGUGUAAGUAACUGUGCACGUCUUGACGGUACCUAAUCAGAAAGCCACGGCUAACUACGUG
rnacentral:rRNA from 1 species